AUGGCCUUACCUCCUUUCCCUCCUCUAUUACAGGACGCAAAGAAACGAUUUGAGGAAAUAAGGAAUAUGGAGUACAGGAAGGGCGACAUCAUAUUAGCCAUUUAUCCUAAAUCAGGAACACACUGGGUGUGGGAGAUAGUCUGUAUGUUACUAAAACAAAAGGCAGAAUAUUCCAAAGAACCAAAAGAAUUAUUCUUUCUGGAAGCCAUGCCAGAUUUGAGCAUAGUAGAUAGUAUGGAGUCACCUCGAGCUGUAAAUACCCACCUUCCUUACAGAUGGCUCCCAAAACAACACAUUGAGAAUGGUGGGAAAAUUGUUCAUGUGGUGAGAAAUCCAAAGGACGUUUGUGUAUCGAUGUAUCACCACAUGAAAAGUUCGGAAGAAAUCGGCGAAAUCAAAGACUUUAAAACAUUUUAUGAAACCGUGUUCAUGAACCCAAAUGCAAAAUUAAUGGAUGGAUGGUACAAAUACGAGAAAGAUUUCGAACAAGCUGAAAAAAAUGACACGGGUGGAACUAUUUUUACUGUUCAUUACGAGAGCUUGAAAACGGUAACUGUUUCUAAGGAUUUCUAAGGAUUCAAAUUGAUAUAAAAAGGCAUUUCCUGAACAUAUUAGACACUGAAAAUUUAAAUUAAGAUAAUGCAUAUACAUGAUUGAACGUGAAUAGCGAUUUUUGUAUGGCAUAUAUAUUUUUUUCUUCUACGUCCAGAAUCCAAUAACAGAAAUCAGUCGACUUGCCGAAUUUCUGAACAUCAACCUAAAGGACCAAGAUAUAGCCGAGAUAGCUGAUAAAUGUAGCUUUAAAAAACUGAAAGUCGCAAAUGAUACCAUAAAAGACCAUUCCAUACUGGAUAUAGGUGAAAAAUCUAUUGGUGAAAAAAUUAAAGAAUUUAUGUAUAGAAAAGGGGAAAUUGGUGAUUGGAAAAAUCAUUUUACCGUUGCAAUGAAUGAACAUUUCGAUGCAGUUUACAAGGAAGAAAUGAAAGACUCCAACAUUAAAAUUCAGUUUGAGUGAUGACUUAAGAAACAUGCGUGACGGAUCUUAACGCAAUAUUGAUACACAGAAUAGAAUUCAUUUUCCCCAAUAAAAUUUAUAGUUC
rnacentral:misc_RNA from 1 species